GAUGAAGAACGUAGCGAAAUGCGAUAAGUAAUGUGAAUUGCAGAAUUCAGUGAAUCAUCGAGUCUUUGAACGCACAUUGCGCCCCCUGGUAUUCCGGGGGGCAUGCCUGUCCGAGCGUCAUUGCUGCCCUCAAGCACGGCUUGUGUGUUGGGCCCCCGUCCCCGGUUUCCCCCGGGGACGGGCCCGAAAGGCAGCGGCGGCACCGCGUCCGGUCCUCGAGCGUAUGGGGCUUUGUCACCCGCUCUGUAGGCCCGGCCGGCGCCAGUCGACACCCAACUUUAUUUCUAAGGUUGACCUCGGAUCAGGUAGGGAUACCCGCUGAACUUAAGCAUAUCAAUAAGCGGAGGA
rnacentral:misc_RNA from 1 species